CCAAUGUGAACGUUACCAAACUGUUGCCUCGGCGGGAACUCAUGCCCCGGGUGCGUCGCAGCCCCGGACCAAGGCGCCCGCCGGAGGACCAACCAAAACUCUUUUUGUAUACCCCCUCGCGGGUUUUUUAUAAUCUGAGCCUUCUCGGCGCCUCUCGUAGGCGUUUCGAAAAUGAAUCAAAACUUUCAACAACGGAUCUCUUGGUUCUGGCAUCGAUGAAGAACGCAGCGAAAUGCGAUAAGUAAUGUGAAUUGCAGAAUUCAGUGAAUCAUCGAAUCUUUGAACGCACAUUGCGCCCGCCAGUAUUCUGGCGGGCAUGCCUGUCCGAGCGUCAUUUCAACCCUCGAACCCCUCCGGGGGGUCGGCGUUGGGGAUCGGCCUCCCUCUGCGGGGGCCGUCUCCGAAAUACAGUGGCGGUCUCGCCGCAGCCUCUCCUGCGCAGUAGUUUGCACACUCGCAUCGGGAGCGCGGCGCGUCCACAGCCGUUAAACACCCAACUUCUGAAAUGU
rnacentral:rRNA from 1 species